rnacentral:rRNA from 1 species
UCUUCUUGCGCAGCUUAGGUGGAAGGCUGAGAAAGGCAAUUCCGGUUGUCUGGAGCCAUCAGUGAGAUACCACUCUGGGAGAGCUAGGAGUCUAAUGGCGUUCCUUAAAUCAGGACGCUUGACAGUUUCAGGUGGGCAGUUUUACUGGGGCGGUAGCCUCCUAAAAGGUAACGGAGGCGUGCAAAGGUUCCCUCAGGCUGGACGGAAAUCAGCCAUAGAGUGUAAAGGCAGAAGGGAGCUUGACUGCAAGACCUACAAGUCGAGCAGGGACGAAAGUCGGCCUUAGUGAUCCGACGGUGCCGUGUGGAAGGGCCGUCGCUCAACGGAUAAAAGUUACUCUAGGGAUAACA